CGCGGGGUAGAGCAACCAGGCAGCUCGUCGGGCCCAUAACCCGAAGGUUCUCGGUUCAAAUCCGAGCCCCGCAACAA
rnacentral:tRNA from 1 species